rnacentral:rRNA from 1 species
CACGUAGGGCGCAAGCGUUGUCCGGAAUUAUUGGGCGUAAAGAGCUCGUAGGCGGUCUGUUGCGUCCGCUGUGAAAACCCGGGGCUUAACCCCUGGCUUGCAGUGGAUACGGACAGACUAGAGGUAGGUAGGGGAGAAUGGAAUUCCUGGUGUAGCGGUGAAAUGCGCAGAUAUCAGGAGGAACACCGGUGGCGAAGGCAGCUCGCUGGGACGGUACUGACGCUGAGGCGCGAAAGCGUGGGGAGCGAACAGG